rnacentral:rRNA from 1 species
GCUUACGGCCAUACCAGCCUGGGUACGCCCGAUCUCGUCUGAUCUCGGAAGCUAAGCAGGGUCGGGCCUCGUUAGUACUUGGAUGGGAGACUGCCUGGGAAUACCAGUUGCUGUAAGCA